CAUGACUGGGGUGAAGUCGUUACAAGGUAGCCGUAGGGUAACCUGCGGCUGGAUCACCUCCUUA
rnacentral:rRNA from 1 species